GACGAGUCGAGUUGUUUGGGAAUGCAGCUCUAAAUGGGAGGUAAAUUUCUUCUAAAGCUAAAUACCGGCCAGAGACCGAUAGCGCACAAGUAGAGUGAUCGAAAGAUGAAAAGCACUUUGGAAAGAGAGUUAAAAAGUACGUGAAAUUGUUGAAAGGGAAGCGCUUGCAACCAGACUUGCUCGCAGUUGCUCAACCCGCCUCCUGGUGGGUGUACUCUUCUGCGGUCAGGCCAGCAUCAGUUCGAGCGGUCGGAUAAAGGCGCCGGGAAUGUAGCUCCUCUCGGGGAGUGUUAUAGCCCGGCGUGGAAUGCGACCUGCUCGGACUGAGGAUCUCGCUUCGGCUAGGAUGCUGGCGUAAUGGUUGUAAGCGGCCCGUCUUGAAACACGGACCAAGGAGUCUAACAUCUAUGCGAGUGUUUGGGUGUCAAACCCAUGCGCGUAAUGAAAGUGAACGGAGGUGGGAACCCGCAAGGGCGCACCAUCGACCGAUCCUGAUGUCUUCGGAUGGAUUUGAGUAUGAGCAUAGCUGUUGGGACCCGAAAGAUGGUGAACUAUGCCUGAAUAGGGUGAAGUCAGAGGAAACUCUGAUGGAGGCUCGCAGCGGUUCUGACGUGCAAAUCGAUCGUCAAAUUUGGGUAUA
rnacentral:rRNA from 1 species